CGAUUUGCCGUUUGAGCCCACACUUCAGCGUAUUGGGUAGAUGGGGCUGGACAAAGGAGCUGUGUGGAGAGCCAGAACCAAUCCUCACACGAAAACACAGCGCACCAGGACCAAUCCUUUACCGUCCUCGAGCCCCACGCCACUCUUCUCCCAUCCGCGUCGUCCGGCCUCCCCUGCUCCUCGGUCCCCCGCCGCCUCACGGCCUCUCGCACCGCUGCCUUUUCUCCCGGCCUCUUCCCCGGCGCUCGAGGUGCAGUAGCGUGGGCGCUGCCACGUUCUCGAUCCAGUCGGAUCUGGCGCAGGUCGCCGGCAUCCGGCACCGCGCGCCGUGAUUCCAGAUCGGGCGUAGGUCGCCGGCAGGAGAGCAGGAGCGGCUGCUGCAGCGAGUGCAGUGGAGGAUCCUACCCUGGUCAAGCCCCACCCCGGCGGCUGCGUGCAGAAGAGGAGCGGUCGAGGAUGGCCGGCAGUUCGUGGAGGAGACGCUCGGCACAGAUAGGGAUAGCGAGGAGGAGGUUGUCCCCGCGAGGAGGCAACGUGAGGCUGCACGGGCGCCUCCCCAUGUGUGCAUCUACCGAGAAUGGAUGGACUCAAGUGGGUAAGGACGCCAUCAGCACGUGAUAAGAUUAGGUGCUGGGUACCACAUCCGCCCAAAUCCAAGGUCUCAAGCCACACAGGUCAGCUUCUACUUCAUACAUGAUUUCUUCAUCUCAGUUGUACCAGAAUAGAAAGCCAUGCCUCUGCCUUCACCAAGAGUAGUAUUUUCUGCAGGUUUUCCACCAUCUCCUACUGACCACGCAUGCCUCAUAAUUUGGUGGAUGUACCAUUUAUGUAGCUUUAUUCACUAGGCAUGGAGAUGGGGCUGUCGCUUUGGUUGUAGCCAUUCAUAUGCAUACACGCAAGGAUGGAGAUUUCAGUUGUGCUUACCUCGACAAAAUAUCAUUGUUGGUAGCAUAGCCAUAUCAUUGUACUUGGCAUCUACCUUACUGUAUUAGGAUUCUUAAUGUUUCAUGAGGUUUUAUUUUGUGAGUUCUGGUAUUAUUUGUUAUAAUUGCGUGAAACUAUUUCUGAACCUAUAUGACAUAAAUUUAGUGUUACCAGUCUGGAAGUUAUGAUAGCAAUGGUUUUAACAUUUUCAUGUUUUAUCUUUUUUGUAAUCAUAUCACUUGCGGGGAAUAUGUUCAGAUGUCUCGUGCUUGGAAAGGGCCCAUUACACAUAUCAUGGAAACAAGAUCUAUUUUUGUAUUUUUGUAAUCAUUAAACAUAUCAGAUGUCUCGUGUUUGGAAUGUGCAAGCUGAACUCCUCUAUCAUUGGCGUUAAUCUUCCAAUCAACAAGGUAAAUGGGAUACAAUAUAUAAUCCAUGACUCUUUCCUCGAUUCCUUUUACAUUAUCGAAUCUGACGGUCACCAUUAUUAACCAUCACAUAUUAGUAUUAGGAUUGAAUCUUCUGUGCUAUUGCAUUUGUUUAGAGAAGUUUUGACCUAUACUUUCAGGAACAGUCCACCGGUCAGUUUCUUCGUGUAAAAGGAAUUGAGAAAGUCAUGGAUUUGUACGAUUGAAUGUUUGUGUUGCUGCAUUUGUUCAGAGAAGUUUUGACCUGUACUUCCAGGAACAGUCCACCGGUUGUCAAUGCAGUCCAUAGAGAACAAGUUGCUAAAAAAAUAUGGGAUGCAGUUAGCCUAAGAGUGACCACUUAGGCACUUACCAAAUUUUUGUUAAAUUACAAAUGGAAUCCACUACCAUACAUGUUCGCAUUAGUGAUAUGUUCAUUUCUCCCCUGGAUAGUUAUCAAUGCAGUCCAUAGAGAACAAGUUGCUAAAAGAAUAUGGGAUGCAGUUAGCCUAUGAGUGACCACUUACCAAAAUUUUGCUAAAUUACAAAUGGAAUCCACAGUACAAUAUUGUACUUUUAUCAAAUUGCAUAAAUCAGUGUACUAUUUUCAUGAAUAUUAUGCAGGGAGCUCCAUUCUACCUUGGUUGCUUCAAAUAAAAAAUCUGCCGACUGAAAGUAUGUCAGUUGGUUAUUGGUGCUCUUGGCCCUUUAUGCUUAUUGGUUAUUUGCUUCAUGUGGUUUCCAUUUUUAACUACAUGGGCAAUUUUAAUUUCAGUGUUUAUAUAUCUAUCAGUUCUCGUGCUCAUUGUAGAUUAUGCAAUACAAUUAUGUUCAGAGGAGCUUUAGAGUAAAGACUAACCAGUACAAGACCUGUUUUUGCAAGGGCCAUUACACAUAUCAUGGAAACAAGAUGGUUAUUGAUUUAUGCUGCACAAUGCCCUAUCUAUGUUCAGAAUAUAUUCAUGUCUGAAUAAUACAAUUAGAAGCGAUAGAAGUGUUCGCUGAAAUGGAUUUUCUUACUCAACACAAUAUAUUGGCGAGCUUGAAAAAAAUAACUUGAAGCAAAGGAUGGAGAGUAUAUCUCAACAACAAGUAAUUAAACAUGAAUUGAGGACAUUGUGCAUUCAUUGACAUUAACAAGGACCUGAGCAUGCAUUCCUGAAGUAAGUCUGAUGGUUAGCUUAGCAGUGUGUACAAGCAUAGGAAUUUUUUGCUAUGUACUUUGCAGGCUGAUUUUAGAUAUUGAAAGAAGGUUUAGUCGAUAGAAUGUACCAUAAAAACCUUACGCAUCUACUCUUUCUUUAUUUUUUCAUUGCUUUCAAGAUUAUCAGUUCCCACUAGGUAUGUUCACUUCAGGUUGUGGUGUUGAGCCUUCAGCGUUACACUCUGAAUAUUUAACCAUUAGAUGACUGAACCUAUAAACCUCUUAAAAAUGCAUUGUUACUUUUUAUGUUGAAUUAAACUUAUUCAGUUUAUGAACAUUUGUACAUGCUGCUACAAAGCAUAAAAAGGGGGGAAAUAAAAAUUCAUUUGCUGACUGUUCUUGCAUCGAUAGUUUUGUGGUGCAAAAUAGGAACUAAGAGGCUCACUUGUAGUAUUAGACUGUCUAUGUUACAGCCAGCACGUUCCAUUUUGUUUCUACAUAUUGUUCGCUAAAGAAGGUUGCAGAGAUAUCGCUAUGGAGAAGAAAAACGUGGUGAGAUGGGGAUUACAGUUUAUUGCAAACUUAGAUGGGAUUAUAGUUUUUGUUUUUUUGUUGGUCAUGUUUUCUUAGGAUAAUUCAUUGAUAGCUGAUCUUGUUGUCUACAGAUUUUCUUAGAAUUGUACCAACAUUGUUCAUACUACUGCUUGUGGGGUUAUCCCCCUGAUUUUGUUAGGAAGCUUUGCUUAUAGUUACCUGCAAAUUGCUCUUGGAUGCGUGAGAUCAUUUAGUUUCGGAUCCAUGCUUGUGUGGUUUGCUCGUGCAUGCCAUCUCUUUUGGCGGUCGGUGUGCAGUCCAUGCUACCUGCUUCUUCUUCUUAUUUGCUUGUUCAUUAUUUAUAUAUGAUCAACUCAGAUGGGGUUGCCUUCUGAAUUUAGCAUGACAACUAUUGAUGUUGGUGUAGUAUGCUUCCUCAUCCGGCAGACCACCACCUACUUCAGUAUGUGUGCUUCUGAAUUUAGCACGACAACUAUUGAUGUUGCGUUAGUACGUUUUCUUUAGGAUCCAACGGGCGAACAUUUCCUCUUUACACAUGAAAUGCUUCUUCUCUUCUCACUAAUGAUCGCUAUUAUAAGCCUUUCAUUUUUCUCACUAAUGCAUGCAAGUUAAUUAACUAUCUAAUAGAAUGAAACUCUGCUUCUAGGGUCCAGUAGGUGUUUGUUGUUGCAUGUGCAAAUAGUGAUCCUUGUUGCUCACUGAUACAUGCAUGUUUAUUAACCUUUUCUGUUUUUCACUAAUGCAUACGACCUAAUUCACCAUCCAAUAAAAUGAACUUGUGCUUUCAGGGUUCCGUAGGUCUUUUCGCUGACUGUUUGCUUAUGUUGUAUUUAGGCUGUUCUUUUUCCGCUUUUUCAGAUGUAUGUCAUGUACGUGUAGCCGUGGUUCUAAAACAUCUCCAUUCUUUUUCUUCCUAUCAACGUACUUUGAUUCAGUUAUUUGACUAAGUAGUAUAUAUUAUAUUCCCAGGGUUAAUUAGUACCUAAAAUGCUACCUUUAGUUUCUGCAAUUGUUAUUAUGUUUCAUUGAUUCAGUCCUGUAGUUCAAUUGUUCCAGUGGAUUUUGCUAAAUUGUUUUCUAUCUUUAAUUAGUAAAUAAAAGGCCUCGGUUGGUUUCUGUAAUAAUUUCCUUCAAGCUCUCUAUAAUUGUUUAUUUAUUAGUUAUUACACAUAUAGAGUUCUUUAAUGUCUUUGUUUAUAAUAUGACAUUCCCUCAUUAGUUUUUUUGUUAUGUGGAGGGUAAUUUUCUUUUGCUGUGACUUGUGCUUUGUUAUGUGCAGGUUGCAGUCACAGGGACGAGCUGGCCGACCAUAUCAACAAGGUCAACGCAACAGAGUUGAAGGAAAUAUUAAGGUUGCUUUUGUCCUCUGAUCUGCUGUUUGGUCUUCAUCUAUUACUCUGUUGGUUCAUCAUCUGCUCGGUUGGAGGUUGUUUUUGGUCCUGCCAUUUGUUCUUGUUAGAGCUCACUAAAAUAUAACUUGAAGGUCCUCUGCAGUGCUGGUUUUUACUAAUUUUUGCUUUAAUCUAGAACAAUAGGCAGUAAUUCCACAUUUGUACUUGGCGUCCCGUGCUUUCUUGGAAUAAAUAUGUCCUGUUUUUAUUAGCUAUGAAGAUCAUUCUACCUUUCCGUCAGUGUGCACCUCCUUUGAUUCUGCAUCCUGUUAAUUUUGUAAAAAAUUCUGUUCCAUGUUUGCUUACAGUACAAGACAUACUUUCCUAACUUUUUUGUGUGAUAUAUCUGAAUGCUUUUGUAAUGCUAAUUUACUGUGUUGUUAAUCUGCAGCAAGGUGUUCUAUUUUCGAUUUCCGUUCUGACCGUUGGAUUCCUAUUCUUAUUUUUGUCUUCACUACUAGAGUUGAUUGAUGCGCCCCGUCGAAGUCUCAUUUCCAGGCGGGACACAACAUAGAACCGUAGCACCCCUAUGCUUGGGAAGCUCGACAUUUAUACAUUCCCCAUUGAUUGAGCAGUGUAUGACGACUGCGACUUUCCAAGAUUGGAGUCUCUUCCAGAAUUUCAAUUGUAAAAGCUCAUGCUUAAGAAAUGAGUAGUAGGGUAUAUUUUUCGUGUAGAGCUUAUUCGUGAAGCAACUAUUAUUGGGUAUUGUAAGAUGAUAGGGAAGGUUUCUGCUUUGCCAUUGACAGCCCACCGAACACACCCACCGCGAGGAGUUGCUUAGACGAUGAGGUCAUUUACGAUACCGAUGGCACAUGCUACAAUUAAUGACACUACCUGAUGUGAAUGACUUUAUAUCUUAGUUACCAUAAGCUGAGUGGCCAAAGCUAUCUAUACAAUGCAUCUCUGCCUAUGUAGCUUUGAAGAGAUCUCUUGCCUUUCUUUUGGCCUAUAAAGCGACCAGGCUAUGUAAUAUGCUAUGUAUGAACAUCAUAUCCAAAAGUCAAUUUUCUUAUGCUUCAA